rnacentral:rRNA from 1 species
UGGGGAAUCUUGGACAAUGGGGGCAACCCUGAUCCAGCCAUGCCGCGUGAGUGAUGAAGGCCUUAGGGUCGUAAAGCUCUUUCGCCUGUGAAGAUAAUGACGGUAGCAGGUAAAGAAACCCCGGCUAACUCCGUGCCAGCAGCCGCGGUAAUACGGAGGGGGUUAGCGUUGUUCGGAAUUACUGGGCGUAAAGCGCACGUAGGCGGACCAGAAAGUUGGGGGUGAAAUCCCGGGGGCUCAACCCCGGAACUGCCUCCAAAACUAUUGGUCUAGAGUUCGAGAGAGGUGAGUGGAAUUCCAAGUGUAGAGGUGAAAUUCGUAGAUAUUUGGAGGAACACCAGUGGCGAAGGCGGCUCACUGGCUCGAUACUGACGCUGAGGUGCGAAAGUGUGGGGAGCAAACAGGAUUAGAUACCCUGGUAGUCCACACCGUAAAACGAUGAAUGCCAGUCGUCGGGUAGCAUGCUAUUCGGUGACACACCUACGGAUUAAGCAUUCC